rnacentral:rRNA from 1 species
AUUGAACGCUGGCGGCAUGCUUUACACAUGCAAGUCGAACGGCAGCACGGACUUCGGUCUGGUGGCGAGUGGCGAACGGGUGAGUAAUACAUCGGAACGUGCCCAGUUGUGGGGGAUAACUACUCGAAAGAGUAGCUAAUACCGCAUGCGAACUGAGGUUGAAAGCAGGGGAUCGUAAGACCUUGCGCAACUGGAGCGGCCGAUGGCAGAUUAGGUAGUUGGUGGGAUAAAAGCUUACCAAGCCGACGAUCUGUAGCUGGUCUGAGAGGACGACCAGCCACACUGGGACUGAGACACGGCCCAGACUCCUACGGGAGGCAGCAGUGGGGAAUUUUGGACAAUGGGCGAAAGCCUGAUCCAGCAAUGCCGCGUGCAGGAUGAAGGCCUUCGGGUUGUAAACUGCUUUUGUACGGAACGAAAAGCUUCGGGUUAAUACCCUGGAGUCAUGACGGUACCGUAAGAAUAAGCACCGGCUAACUACGUGCCAGCAGCCGCGGUAACAC